AGAAAAGGAUCGCUAGCGUGGCAGAGCUUGGUAAAUGCAGAAGGCUUAAGCCCUUUAUCCAGAGGUUCAAAUCCUCUCCCUAGCUUCAUUCUCAUAUACAUGAUUACUCACCCCGCUCUAACCCACCUCAUCAUAUCACUAUCCUAUGCCCUAUCUAUCCUCAUUGCCGUAGCAUUUCUUACCCUUGUCGAACGUAAAGUCUUAAGUUACAUACAAGCCCGCAAAGGUCCUAACAUUGUGGGACCAUUUGGUCUCCUACAACCCUUGGCAGAUGGUGUAAAAUUAUUUAUCAAAGAGCCUAUCCGUCCCUCUACCUCAUCCCAUUACCUAUUUAUAACUACUCCUAUUCUAGCCCUCCUCUUGGCAAUCACAAUCUGAACCCCACUUCCACUUCCCCACCCCCUAACUGACCUAAACCUUAGUAUGCUUUUCCUAUUAGCUUUGUCCAGCCUAGCAGUCUAUUCUAUCUUAUGAUCAGGAUGAGCCUCGAAUUCAAAAUACGCUCUAAUUGGUGCCUUACGAGCAGUUGCACAAACCAUUUCCUAUGAAGUUACCCUAGCUAUUAUUCUUAUGUCCGUAAUUAUCUUAAGUGGUAACUACACUCUUAGUACUCUUGCUACAACCCAAGAACCCCUCUAUCUUAUUUUCUCCUCCUGACCCCUUACAAUAAUAUGAUACAUCUCCACACUCGCUGAAACAAACCGUGCUCCAUUUGAUCUAACAGAGGGAGAAUCUGAGUUAGUUUCAGGAUUUAACGUAGAAUAUGCUGCAGGUCCAUUUGCCCUAUUUUUCUUAGCUGAAUAUGCUAACAUCAUGCUAAUAAACACACUCACAACUAUUCUAUUCUUAAACCCUAGUUCACUUAACCUCCCCCAAGAACUCACCCCCUUAACCUUUGCCACAAAAACCCUCCUCCUUUCCGCAGGUUUCCUAUGAAUUCGUGCAUCCUACCCUCGAUUUCGUUAUGACCAGCUAAUGCACCUGCUUUGAAAAAAUUUUCUACCUCUAACACUAGCCCUAUGCCUAUGACACACUAGCCUUCCUAUUUCCUAUGCAGGCCUACCCCCCUACCUAAGACAACCAAGGAAAUGUGCCUGAACUCAAAGGAUCACUAUGAUAAAGUGAACAUAGAGGUAUACUAGCCCUCUCAUUUCCUGUAUCAUAGACUUAGAAAAGUAGGAGUUGAACCUACACAAAAGGAAUCAAAAUCCUUCAUACUUCCCCUAUAUUAUUUUCUAGUAAGGUCAGCUAAUUUAAGCUAUCGGGCCCAUACCCCGAAAAUGACGGUUCAACUCCAUCCCCUACUAAUGAACCCCCAGGCUAAAUUUGUCUCCACAAUUAGUUUACUCUUAGGAACCUCUAUCACAAUCUCAAGUAACCACUGAGUAAUAGCAUGAGCUGGCUUAGAAAUCAACACCUUGGCAAUUUUACCCCUGAUCUCAAAAAGUCACCAUCCGCGAGCUAUUGAAGCUUCCACUAAAUACUUCUUAGUUCAAGCAACUGCAUCAACACUCCUUCUAUUCUCCAGCAUAACUAACGCAUGAUUCUCAGGCCAAUGAGAUAUCACCCAACUAACUCACCCCAUAGCAUGUACUCUACUUACCACUGCAAUUUCAAUUAAACUAGGCUUAGUCCCAUUCCACUUCUGAUUUCCAGAAGUCCUACAAGGUUCUACCCUUUCUACAUGCCUUUUACUAGCUACAAUCAUAAAAUUUCCCCCAACUACCCUCUUUUACCUCACAUCACCUUCACUUAACCCCACCCUACUAUCUUUAAUGGCAGUAGCCUCUGUGGCUUUAGGGGGCUGAAUAGGACUCAACCAAACACAAGUUCGUAAAAUCCUAGCCUUCUCAUCUAUUGCUCACCUAGGAUGAAUAACUAUCAUUCUCAUUUACAACCCUAACCUCACCUUAAUCACCUUCUACCUGUAUACUAUAACAACCUCUGCUAUCUUCUUCACCCUUAAUGUAACUAACACUCUAAAACUAUCAACGAUAAUAACUGCAUGAACCAAAAUUCCUUCACUAACCUCAGUCUUCAUGCUUACACUCCUCUCACUUACAGGCCUUCCUCCCCUAACAGGGUUUUUACCCAAAUGACUAAUUAUUAUAGAACUCACCAAACAAGAAUUAACUAUGAUAGCAACAAUCAUCACCCUUCUCUCCCUGCUUGGACUCUUCUUUUACCUCCGCCUCGCUUAUUGUGCAACCAUCACAUUACCCCCAAACUUCACUAACUACAUAAAACAAUGACAAACCAACAAACUAGUCAACCUACUGACUACAACCUUUACAACUCUAUCAAUCAUACUCUUACCGCUAUCCCCCAUAAUUCUUACAAUCCCUUAGAAACUUAGGUUAUUUAAACCGAUGGCCUUCAAAGCCUUAAAUAAGAGCCAACCUCUCUUAGUUUCUGCUAAGAUUCGUAGGAUACUAACCUACCUCUCCUGAUUGCAACUCAGAUACUUUAACUAAGCUAGAAUCUUAUUCUAGACAGCCUAGACAGAUGGGCUUCGAUCCCAUAAAAUUUUAGUUAACAGCUAAAUGCCUUAACCAACUGGCCUCUGCCUACUAGGUUCCGGUGCUUAUUAACGCACAUCAAUGAGCUUGCAACUCAAUAUGAACUUCACUACAGAACCGAUAAGAAGAGGAAUUAAACCUCUGUAAAAAGGUCUACAGCCUAACGCUUCAACAUUCAGCCAUCUUACCUAUGACUUUCAUUAACCGAUGACUAUUCUCUACAAACCACAAAGACAUUGGCACACUUUACCUUAUUUUCGGCGCCUGAGCUGGUAUAAUUGGCACAGCCUUAAGUCUUCUUAUCCGAGCAGAACUAGGACAACCAGGAACCCUUCUAGGUGAUGACCAAAUUUAUAAUGUAAUUGUUACAGCACAUGCCUUUGUAAUAAUCUUCUUUAUAGUUAUACCCAUUAUAAUCGGGGGAUUCGGCAACUGAUUAGUCCCCCUAAUAAUUGGUGCUCCCGAUAUAGCGUUUCCUCGUAUAAAUAACAUAAGCUUCUGACUUCUUCCCCCAUCCUUCCUGCUACUUCUAGCAUCCUCCACAGUAGAAGCCGGAGCUGGUACAGGAUGGACAGUGUACCCCCCAUUAGCCGGUAACCUUGCUCACGCCGGUGCCUCUGUAGACCUUGCUAUUUUCUCUCUCCACCUAACAGGUGUCUCCUCUAUUCUCGGGGCUAUCAACUUCAUUACCACAGCAAUCAAUAUAAAACCACCAACCCUCUCACAAUACCAAACUCCUCUAUUCGUUUGAUCCGUCCUAAUCACUGCUGUCUUACUUCUCCUCUCCCUCCCAGUUCUCGCUGCUGGCAUCACCAUACUUCUAACAGACCGUAAUCUAAACACUACAUUCUUUGACCCUGCAGGAGGAGGAGACCCAGUCCUAUAUCAACAUCUAUUCUGAUUUUUUGGACACCCAGAAGUCUACAUCCUCAUCCUACCAGGAUUCGGAAUUAUUUCCCACGUCGUAGCUUAUUAUGCUGGUAAAAAAGAACCCUUUGGUUACAUAGGCAUAGUCUGAGCCAUGUUAUCCAUUGGCUUCCUAGGUUUUAUUGUCUGAGCUCACCACAUAUUUACAGUUGGAAUGGACGUAGACACCCGAGCAUACUUUACUUCUGCAACUAUAAUUAUCGCAAUUCCUACCGGCAUUAAAGUUUUUAGUUGACUAGCUACACUGCAUGGAGGAACAAUCAAAUGAGAUCCGCCCAUAUUAUGAGCUCUAGGCUUUAUCUUCCUCUUCACAAUUGGAGGAUUAACUGGAAUUGUCCUAGCCAACUCCUCCUUAGACAUUGCCCUACACGACACUUACUAUGUAGUUGCACACUUCCACUAUGUAUUAUCCAUAGGAGCAGUAUUUGCUAUUCUAGCUGGUUUCACCCACUGGUUCCCACUAUUUACUGGCUUUACCCUCCACCCCACAUGAGCUAAAGCCCAUUUCGGAGUAAUAUUCUCCGGAGUAAAUCUAACAUUCUUUCCUCAACACUUCUUAGGCCUAGCUGGCAUACCACGACGAUACUCAGACUACCCAGACGCCUAUACUCUAUGAAACACAAUAUCCUCUAU